AAGUCAAUAAGAACACAUAUGGAAGCUACCAAGAAACAGCCAUGGACUAAGGCAACAAAUGCUGCGUGUCCCAUUGGAAAUUUACAAGCUUCAUUAAGAUUAUAAAAUUACCCACAGAGGAACAUCAAAGGAAAGAAACAAUGCAAUCCCAUAAAGCAAGCGCGUCAAUUGACGAAGCGGCCCUCUGCCUCCGCCGUGUAAGACUUCCACAAUUCACACGCCAAUCCCUUCUAUAUAAAACCCAUUAAUCUCUCCUUCUUCAUCCAUAUCUCAUACCUUCAUCUUCUUCUUCAAUAGCUCUCUCUGUGUAUCUCCCAUGGCAGAAAAACAACCUCAGUUGAAUGGAGCCUAUUACGGCCCUGCAAUCCCUCCCCCAAAUAACUACCACCGCCCUGGUCGUAGCUCCGGCUGCGGAUGCGGCUGUUGCCUAUUGAGCUGCCUCCUGAAAAUCAUCAUCACCAUCGUGGUGGUUGCUGGCCUUGCUGUCUUUAUUUUCUGGCUCGUAGUUCGUCCUAACAAGGUUAAGUUUCACGUCACAGAAGCUAAUCUCUCUGAGUUCAAUCUCGCCGGCAACAAUACUCUCUAUUAUAACCUNNNNNNNNNNNNNNNNNNNNNNNNNNNNNNNNNNNNNNNNNNNNNNNNNNNNNNNNNNNNNNNNNNNNNNNNNNNNNNNNNNNNNNNNNNNNNNNNNNNNNNNNNNNNNNNNNNNNNNNNNNNNNNNNNNNNNNNNNNNNNNNNNNNNNNNNNNNNNNNNNNNNNNNNNNNNNNNNNNNNNNNNNNNNNNNNNNNNNNNNNNNNNNNNNNNNNNNNNNNNNNNNNNNNNNNNNNNNNNNNNNNNNNNNNNNNNNNNNNNNNNNNNNNNNNNNNNNNNNNNNNNNNNNNNNNNNNNNNNNNNNNNNNNNNNNNNNNNNNNNNNNNNNNNNNNNNNNNNNNNNNNNNNNNNNNNNNNNNNNNNNNNNNNNNNNNNNNNNNNNNNNNNNNNNNNNNNNNNNNNNNNNNNNNNNNNNNNNNNNNNNNNNNNNNNNNNNNNNNNNNNNNNNNNNNNNNNNNNNNNNNNNNNNNNNNNNNNNNNNNNNNNNNNNNNNNNNNNNNNNNNNNNNNNNNNNNNNNNNNNNNNNNNNNNNNNNNNNNNNNNNNNNNNNNNNNNNNNNNNNNNNNNNNNNNNNNNNNNNNNNNNNNNNNNNNNNNNNNNNNNNNNNNNNNNNNNNNNNNNNNNNNNNNNNNNNNNNNNNNNNNNNNNNNNNNNNNNNNNNNNNNNNNNNNNNNNNNNNNNNNNNNNNNNNNNNNNNNNNNNNNNNNNNNNNNNNNNNNNNNNNNNNNNNNNNNNNNNNNNNNNNNNNNNNNNNNNNNNNNNNNNNNNNNNNNNNNNNNNNNNNNNNNNNNNNNNNNNNNNNNNNNNNNNNNNNNNNNNNNNNNNNNNNNNNNNNNNNNNNNNNNNNNNNNNNNNNNNNNNNNNNNNNNNNNNNNNNNNNNNNNNNNNNNNNNNNNNNNNNNNNNNNNNNNNNNNNNNNNNNNNNNNNNNNNNNNNNNNNNNNNNNNNNNNNNNNNNNNNNNNNNNNNNNNNNNNNNNNNNNNNNNNNNNNNNNNNNNNNNNNNNNNNNNNNNNNNNNNNNNNNNNNNNNNNNUACUAUCAAAUUAAAUAUCACUGAAUUAAAUAUUAUCAGAUUAAAUUUAUGAGUGCUGUAAUUUUAUAAUUUACUUUAAUUUAAAUAAAGUCACAAUAAAAUUCAUCUUAAAAUAAAUAAAAUGUAUCUGAAAUUUCUGAUAUAUUAAAUGGAUUUGUAAUUUCUGCUCAAUUUCGCAACCUAAAUAAAUAGAUUAUAAAUUUUUAAAAAAUAAAAAUUUUCUUAUUAAAGAAAAGAGUAACUCUAAUAGAAGCAUAAAAACAAUAAAUAUUUCCAGAAAAAAAAAAGGCAAAGACUUGUAGUUUGCACUUCAUGUCCCUAUAGUAUAGCCCAUACGUCGAAGGAGUGGUUGCUGACUGUUUCAAUUUUAGAAAAAUAGAGUUGUAAUUAUCUCUGUCUCUAUCAAUCAAAUAUCAAUAGCUAGUAUUCUGUCCACUGCUUAAUUAGAUAUACGCUCUUUUUUUUAAAAUUUUUUAAAAGUUUUUUUAUUUGAAAGAAGUUUUAUUGAAAAAAACACAUCCAAGGUUUGAGAAAAAACAAACUAAUACAAUUCAACUCCUGAUCAAAUCAGCUCAAUCAGACAAACUUGAGAAAAAAAGUAAGAAGACAGAGACUCUAAUCAAGCCACCAAUCAUGCUUGAGGUCUCUUAACAACGGUAAUACAUAGAUGCUACCUUCGCUUAACAGUAACAUAAGAGAAGAGAAUACGCUUUGUUUAUCAUAUAAGUAUAUACGAGAUCACGUUAAAAUGAUUGGAUAUUAUAUGCGAUGACUUUGAAAGAUUUGGAUAAUAAUUUAUUAUAUAAAUAUUGUUCGAAUCAAAGCACAGAGGGAGAAAAAGAAAUUGAAACCUUUAUUUUUGAAAAUAAAGAGAAGAUUACAUUGUCUGGUGAUGACCGCUGGAUUUCUUCAUCCCGGACUAGGGCCAUGCCCAUAUCGUGAGCCCAUCAUUUGGGGGGUCCAAGGCCUCCCCCGUGAGACUGGUCCAGCCCGUCCCCCUCCAGAUCGGACUCCAAUCAAUUUCCUCAAUCAGGCCAGCCUAACCUCUUAGGCCCGAUGAACAGAACCUUCUUAGGCUCAGCCCAUGACUUAUCUUCCGGUCCAGUCCGGAAUCAGGAGGGAGACCCAUUCGUCCGUCAUGUGGGUCCACACGCAUGUGCGCCCGGGGAGAAUCAAGGGCUGUUACGCAUGAGACAGAGAUCUGAUUCCCUCGUACGUCCGUAUCAACGUAGCAGAGACAGGUGGUCCAAUGAUAUACGUUCUGUUAACACGUCACUAGCAGACAAAAGAAAAUAUAUAAAAGGAGAAAUACUCUCCUCUAGGUCUAGACUUUUUCCAGUUUUACAGAACCCAUUGUAAAACCCUAUUUUCUGGAUCUCAGAUCAUCAAUUGGCGCUGUCUGUGGGGAACGAAGGAGAUCUUUUCAUCACCGGAGUUCCACUCUUAACAAAACCCACUGAGAUCCACGAUGGCUAAUCACAAUGAAAGCAACCUUAACACCCCAAAUGACCUGAGCUCUGCCCAAGAAGGGCAGCAGUUCUCCUUUUCUAGUCCUACAACACCAAAUAACCAAACACCUAUUCCUCUCAAUCCCUCGCCAAGCUUGGCAGGGAAUGCUCCCACCGCUACCUUAUCUAACCAGGACCUUCAAACCAUGGCCCUCCAACUACAGAGCACCGCCCACUGGUUGGGGCAGAUAAUGCAACAAAGGGGCCUCAGCACCCCGAUGAGUACACUCCCAGUGGUAGAAGAAUCCCAAACCAAUGAGCCCCAACCUGCCCUUGACCGCCUUCAAACCAACAGCCGAGGUACCGGGGAAAGGGGGAGAAGAGCCGGGGAAGAGGAGGAACCGGAAGUCUGAGUCCGCAGAAGGAGGGUGAGGGAGAUGAUAGAGAAUGAUGAGGCUGACAACUAUUCUGCCGGGACAACCAAGUGGACGAGAAGUGAAGCAGAGGAGGAAGAAUAUCGCCUGGAGAAGAAACCCAGGCAGGAAGAUGAGAAUGUAGACUAAAAGCUGCAGAAGUUGAGAGAGCAGCUCUUGGCCGAGCUGGGAAAGAAGGAUCAGAGCCAAACCCUCAUGCCCACUUCUUCACCCUUCUCGAAGUGGGUGCAGCAGGAGACUGUUCCUAAGAAGUUUAUGAUGCCAUCGAUGGCGGCUUAUGAUGGAGCUGGAAACCCCCGAGAGCAUGUCCUCAACUACAAGACUUUCAUGGAGCUGCAGACUCUGUCAGAUGCCUUGAUGUGCAAGGCAUUCCCAAUGACGCUCUCGGGGCCAGCAAGGGCGUGGUUUAAUAAUCUUGAGGCUGGCAGUAUCAGCAGUUUUGGAGAUCUGGCCACUCGCUUCAUCAGCCGGUUUAUCGCCGGGGUGUCCGCAGAUAGGAAGACGAGCUACCUGGAGACAAUCAGGCAGAGAAGAGACGAAUCGCUCAGGGAGUAUGUCGCUCGUUUCAAUAUGGAGGCCUUGCAGAUUCCCGAACUCGAUGAGGGAAGGGUGGUGGAGGCCAUGCAGAAGGGGACGACCUCUGCCGAGUUCUUCGGCUCAUUAAGCAGGAAGCUUCCGACCUCACUGGCUGAGCUGAUGAAGAGGGCUGAGAAGUAUAUAAGGCAGGAUGAUGUCUUGGUGACUAGCCGAUUCGCCAAGGGAGCGGCAGAUAAGGAGAAAGCCCCGGAGGAAAGGAGGCUGGAGAAGCACGAGAAGAAACAUGGUAAAAGGCCUAAGCCUUACAGACAGCCCUGGGAGCGAAAGGACCAAAGACCUCUCCCUCCUCGGGUCUCAGAAAUGAAGCCACUCCCUUCGUGGGUUCCAGAGAAGCCGACCCCACUUAAUGCCUCUAGAGCCGAAGUGCUCAUGGCAGUCCAAGACAAGGAAUUCUUACAAUGGCCCAAACCCCUGAGAAUAGAAGCCGACCAGCGAAAUCCUGACAAAUACUGUCAGUUCCAUUGCGCUCAUGGCCAUGACACCAAUAACUGCUUUCAGUUGAUCACAGAAAUCGAGAGGCUGAUAAAAAGAGGGCACCUGAAGAACUUCGUGAAGAAACCGGAAGGACAGAGACCCCAGCCCAAUCCGGCAACCCAAGUGCCGAGGAGAGUGGGAGCAGUGAAUGAUGGGUCCAGUGGGACCAUUAACAUGAUUGUGGGGGGGAACAGGAGGUCGGAUGAGCCGUAGAGGAAAGAAGAGGAGUCAAGAGGGGGAAGGCAGUGGCGCCGAGGUCAUGCAGGUCGUCGAGCACUCUCCAGUGACCAUCGCUUUCUCUCCAGAGGAUGCUCAAGGUGUUCAAAUGCCCCAUGACGAUGCCCUUGUCAUUGAAGCCGUCAUCCACAACUAUCGGGUGAAGAAGAUCCUAGUGGAUGACGGGAGUAAGGUCAACCUGCUGCUCUACCGGGUCUUUCAGCAGAUGGGAAUCCCUGAAGAGCAGUUGGUCCGGGAUCAGGCACCGGUCAAAGGAAUCGAAGGAGUCCCAGUACCUGUGGAAGGGAUGGUGAAGCUGGCUCUCACCCUAGGAGAAGCACCGAGGACUCGCACUCAUUAUGCGGUGUUCUUGGUGGUCAAACUCCCUCUAAGCUACAACGUGAUAUUGGGAAGACCUGCACUAUUUGACUUCGAGGCAGUCACCGGCAUUAGAUACUUGGCCAUGAAAUUCCCUAUAGAAGCAGGAGUGGGUGUAGUCAGGGGCAGCCAGGAAGAGGCGAGGGCGGUAUACUUGGCUACCGUGGCAGAACCGAGUUCGGCCGGAGAAAAGCUAGGCCCAGAGGUACUAGAGGUCAGGGAUGAAGAGAAAGAGACCAGAACAGAGCCGGUCGGAGAGUUAGAGACUUUUCCUUUAUCAGAAGCAGAGACGGAUAAGGUCUUCAGUCUCAAUGCCGGCCUCACUGAAGAACAAAAAACUGAAGUCAUGGCCCUGAUCCGAGGUCACGCAUCGAGCUUCGCCUGGAAGCCUUCAGACAUGCCCGGAAUUGAUCCUGAGGUGAUGACCCAUAAGCUGAACGUCCUCCCCGAAGCCAGGCCGGUGAAGCAGAAGAAGAGGGUGGUAGGAAGGGAGAAGCAACAAGCCACCAGGGAGGAAGUACAGAAGUUAGAAGAGGCAGGCUUUAUUAGGAAAGUCAUGUACCCGCAGUGGUUAGCUAAUCCUGUAUUAGUCAAAAAAGCCAAUGGCAAAUAUAGGAUGUGCAUAGAUUUUACUGACCUGAAUCAGGCCUGUCCUAAAGAUUGUUAUCCCCUCCCUGAUAUUAAUAAAAUGGUCGACUCCAUGGCCGGUUUUGAUUACAUUUCUUCUUUGGAUGCUAUGUCUGGCUAUCAUCAAAUCCCAAUGGACAGGUUGGAUGAAGAAAAGACCUCGUUCCUAAUAGAAGAUGGAACCUACUGCUAUAAAGCCAUGCCCUUCGGGCUAAAAAAUGUCGGGGCAACAUACCAAAGACUGAUGAAUAAAAUCUUCAAAAAUCAGAUCGGCAGAAACGUAGAAGUUUAUGUAGACGAUAUGGUAGUCAAAAGCCUAACUUUCCAGCAUCACAUGGCAGAUCUGAGGGAGGUAUUCGGGUUGUUAGAACAAUACAGAAUGAGGCUGAACCCAGCGAAAUGUGCCUUCUUCAUCAGGGGAGGAAAGUUCCUGGGAUACAUGGUGAGUGAGAAAGGCAUCGAGCCCAAUCCAGAGAAAGUAGAGGCUAUACUGAAUAUGCCAGAGCCAACCUGUGUAAGGGAUGUCCAGAGACUGACUAGGAGAGUAGUGGCGUUAAAUCGCUUUAUGUCAAGAUCGACAAAAAAAUGCUUGCCAUUCUUCAAGAAGUUGAGGAAGGUGCCGAACUUCGAAUGGACAGAAGACUGCCAAGAAGCUUUCAAAGAGCUCAAAAGCUGUCUCAGCUCGCCUCACUUGCUUAGUAGCCCCUUAGAAGGAGAAGAACUUCUGAUAUACCUGGCAGCCUCUGAACAAGCAGUCAGUGCAGUAUUGGUAAGGGUAGAAGAAGGAGAGCAAAAGCCUGUUUUCUACGUCAGUAAGGUGCUUAAAGAUGCCGAGGUCAGAUAUUUGAACAUUGAAAAGAUGGCAUAUGCUCUACUGCUCGCAGUCCGGAAGUUUAGGGUUUAUCUGGAAAGCCACCAGGGGGUGGUAAUGACAGACCAACCCCUGAAGAAGAUUCUGCAUAGGCCGGAAACAUCAGGUCGGAUGUUGGCUUGGUCCGUUGAGAUUAGCCCUUACUGCCUAAAGUAUCGACCUCGGACCGCCAUAAAAUCUCAAGCCCUUGCUGACUUCAUAGUAUAGUGCACAUUCAGUGAAGAGCGGGGAGAGUCAUCGUCAGAGGCAUCGAGGAGUGGGAGAGAAGGAGAGCCCUUCCAGGAAUUCAACUGGAAGUUGUAUGUAGACGGAGCAUCGGGCGCUGGGGGCAGCGGCGCAGGAAUAAUGCUUAAAGGACCUGAAGAAUUUAAGAUCUGCUACGCCCUACGCCUAGAAUUCAAGGCCUCCAAUAACGUGGCAGAGUAUGAAGCCCUAAUAAAUGGGAUGCUGGUGGCAAUGGAGGUAGGGGCGACCGACCUUGAAGUGAAUAGUGACUCCCAGCUGGUGAUCAACCAGAUAACUGAAGCGUAUCAGGCCAGAGACCCAACCAUGCAGAAUUACCUGGCAAAGAUAAAAGCCAUAGAAGCCGAGCUCAGAGGUCGGGGAGUCACCAUCAAGUACCAAAGAAUACCUCGGAAGGAGAAUGAAGAAGCGGACCUGCUUAGUCUGUUGUCCAAGGAAGAACUAGAACAGCUCCCUGAUGAAGUAUACAUACAACAUGUCAGCACACCCGCUUUUAAUAAAACAGCCACUGUGUUGCAGGUAGAACAAAGCCAGACCUGGAUGACCCCAUACCUGGAAUAUCUGGAGACGGGGAAACUCCCUGAAGACAAGGAUGAAGCAAGAAAGAUAGCAGCUCGUGCUGCUAAUUACCUAGCAGUAAGGGGGACCCUGUAUAGAAGGGGGAAAUCCAGCCCAUGGCUCCGGUGUGUGAGCCCGGAGGAGGCAAUAAAGGUGAUGGAAGAAAUACACAAGGGGAUGUGUGGAGCUCACGAAGGAGCAGGAACGCUGGCCAAUAAAAUAUUCAGACAAGGAUACUAUUGGCCCACUGUUAAAAAAGAAGCAGAAGAGUUCGUCCGAAAAUGCAACGUAUGCCAGAGGUUUGCCAACGCCAUCAAUGUCCCAGCCACUCCUCAGUCCAGCAUAUCCAGCCCGUGGCCGUUCUCACAAUGGGGAAUAGACAUCCUGGGACCAUUUUCCAAAACCACGGGACAGAAAAAGUUUGUAGUGGUGGUUGUGGAGUACUUCUCGAAAUGGCCAGAGGCGGAGGCAAUCCCCACAAUCACAGCCCGCAAGAUGAUAGACUUUGUAUGGUGAAACAUCAUUUGCAGAUUUGGCAUACCGAGGGUGCUCAUCUCAGAUAAUGGCAGGCAAUUUGACUGCAACGCCUUCAGGGCAUUUACGGCAAACAUGGGCAUAUGGCACAAGUUCUCUUUAGUGGCCCAUCCUCAAACCAAUGGUCAAACAGAGGUUACCAACAAAGCUAUCCUCCAAGGAUUAAAGAAACGGCUGGAUGGGGCAAAGGCGAACUGAGCGGAAGAGCUCAACAGUAUCCUGUGGGCACUCCGAACUACCCCCAAAGCGUCCACUAAAGAAACGCCUUUUGCACUGGCUUUCGGCACAGAGGCCGUAGUCCCAGUCGAGCUGCAAGUCCCCACUCAUCGAGUCCAAUUUGCUAACGAGAACACUAACGACGACAAGUUAAGGAACAACUUGGACGCUCUCGAAGAAAUUAGGGAGGAAGCUCAAGUUCGAACUGCUGCUUAUCAACAACGAGCAGCCCGUUAUUACAACCAAAGGGUCAGAGAAAGAAGUCUAAAGGUGGGGGACCUGGCCCUAAGAAACUUGGAGGCUACGGGAAAAAGAGCGGCAGUGGGCAAGUUGACACCGACCUGGGAGGGCCCAUUCAGGAUAGCAAAAGUAGUCAGGCCAGGAGUAUACCGAAUUGAAGAUAUGCAGGGAAACCCUGAGCCCCACGCCUGGAAUAUCCAGCAUCUGAAGAGGUACUUCCCCUGAAAUAUUUGUAAAGAAAAGCAUUGUACUCUGAAAAACAUGAAUGAAUAAAAUAACACCAUUCCUUACACAACGAGAUUAUCUCUAUUAUUGUGAAUGAUAAUUCUCCGUGGAAAAGAAAGAAUAGAGCUCAGAAGACCUCCUUGAGGCAUAGAGACCUCCUGGAGGCAGAAGACGGGAUCCCCAAGAUCUCUCGGAUUCAAGACCAGGAUCCCCAAGAUCUCCUGGCUCAACAAGACCGGGAUCCCCAAGAUCUCCCGGAUUCAAGACCGGGAUCCCUAAGAUCUCCUAGAUUCAAGUCCAGGAUCCCCAAGAUCUCCUGGCUCAACAAGACCGGGAUCCCCAAGAUCUCCCGGAUUUAAGACCGGGAUCCUCAAGAUCUCCCGGAUUCAAGUCCAGGAUCCCCAAGAUCUCCUGGCUCAACAAGAUCGGGAUCCCCAAGAUCUCCCGGACUCAAGACCGGGAUCCCCAAGAUCUCCCGGAAUUACAAGUCCAGGAUCCCCACGAUCUCCUGGCAAUGAAGACCCUGAGACAUAGAGACCUCAGAGGUAGCAAACCGGGAUCCCCAAGAUCUCCCGGAAUUACAAGUCCAAGAUCCCCAAGAUCUCCUGACAAUAAAGACCCUGAUACAUAUAGACCUCAGAGGUACAAGGCCGGUAGAUCGCAAAGAUCUCCCGGAGCGAAACGGCCGGCGAAGAUCUCAAAGAUCUCCCGGAGCAAAAACGGCCGGCGAAGAUCUCAAAGAUCUUCCGGAGCAACAAAGACCGGAUUCCCCAAAGAUCCUCCGAUGUCACAUGCUUACAGCAAACAGCGAUAUGCAAUGACAACAAGAAAAAAAAAACAACUCAUAAGAACAUAGUUCCGACCUCACACAAAAGAUUGGGGCAAUCAUAAGAGGCACCGACCUCGAGAAUUGACCGCUAGCACUAAACCAGCUCAACUAGCCUAGAGAGAGGUCCAAACAGCAAAGAACCCGCAAAACGCUCGAGGGUAGGCAGCCCGGAAAACACUCAGGGGUAAAAAAGAAAGGUUAAAACUGAACAAACAAGCAGUCAGACGGAAACAUAGCCCAUAUAAGGCUCGACAAGAAAACAAAAAAUUAAGUCCGACUUCACAAAAGAGCUCGGGCCACCAAAGUGAAAAAAGCAAAAUUCCGAACUCUCGAGCUCGCGAUACAAGAAGCAUCACAGGCUAUAGGCAUAAAAGCCUAAGCAAAGGGCAAAGAAUAGAGCUCCCAGCUCGGAUAGACUCGCAACAUGAAACACUCAGGUAGAAUGAAGCUAAGUAUGGAGGAAAUAACAGAGAACCAAGCUCCCUCUAUGAAAAGGCCCAUAAAUGCAGGAACACAUAAGAGGAUAAACGAAGGCAAAGGACCGUGCUCACAGCUCGAGUUAGUUUGCAAUGAACAAACAUUUAGCAAGAAUAACCCAAGAAGAAGGGAACGACAAAAAGCCGAGCUCUCCAUCCCAGUGGAGCACAUAACCCAGAAUGACAAAUGGUCACUUCAGGGCAUCGACAGCAGAAAGAAAGGUAAAACCGUCUAAAAUAAAGCCACGCAGUUACGAAUGAAGUCUAGAGAUUUACCCACUCAUCACUCAUGUAAUGAACUCUGAGGAGGUAAAGGGGCAACCCGGGGUCAACCCGGGGAGAAAUCCAAUGGCAUGAGCAGAUGAGACAUGAGACCCUAGCUUCAGUUCCUGUCAAACCAGAACUAAAAGCAAAAAGGCCAGCCGUGCUCGUCACCUUAAAAGGUACACGAUCUAACUUACUGUUAUUAAGCAAAGGCUAUAUGCCCGAGCUUAUAGUAACGAAGUAAUAAGAGAAAAAAUGAGAAUGUCCUUACCGAAAUCAUAAAACUCGCGAGUCGAGAGUUCAGCCCACUGUUAAAAACAGAACUUGUGAGUGCGGCUAACCCAGCUCAGAAAGAGCUUACGUGUAACGACCCGAAAAUCGGACCGGUACCGGCGCUAGGAUCCAGAUCGGCUUAAGGCCGCCGGGACCCGUAGCAAGCCAAACAUUCUUCCUAUGAACCUGUUUAAUCCCAUACAUGAUCAACAACAUACAUAAAAAUUUUGAACUUUUCCUUACAUUCAUUCAUUCUUUCAUUCAUUCACCAAACUCAACCUGUGCAUGCACUAUACAUAAACAUAAUCAUAAACAUUAACUCCUCUUUGGAGUCUCAUCAGUGCCCCAAUGGGGUGACAUAACAUGUAUUGAGUUUGGUUGCAUAAGCAUCAUUAAAAUCAUGUACUCAAAGGGAUUAACAACAUACUAGGGUCAAGCACAACUAUAAAUCUCAAUAGACAUCAUUAUAUUAUAUUUCUACACUAUACUUUUACAUUACAUCACAUUCAUGUCCACAUCUAGCUAUUACAAACAUUCCGACUCUACUCCUGCUGACCUCCUAGUCUACCCUGUACCUGCAAAUCUGGGGGUUAAGGGAGAGGGGUGAGCUAUAAAGCCCAGUGAGCAGAAUAAUAACAUAUUCAAUUCAUUUUUCAUGCUUUCAUGAAAUGCAACACAGCACAAACAAAUCACAUCAAGGAUGGAAUUGUCACCAAUAGUCCUCUACAUUCCAAGGUGCCGGGACGUAGAAUGGGUCAAUCGGUCUUUCUCUUACAUAGUGCCGGGACGUAGAAUGGGUCAACCGGACUUCCAUAUCAUGCCAUACUGUAUCAUAUCACAUCGUAUCAUAUUGAGGACUAAGGAUCAUCCAAUAACCAUCCACAUCAUCAUCAAAUUAUGCAAUGCAACAUAUUCGUGAACUCUAAUGCAAACAACCUAAAAUAUCAUAUGGUAUUCAUGAUGCAUGAACAUGCUCAAUCUAUAUUUAUUUGCUUUAAAACAUAAGUAUUUAUUCCACUCACCUCUGGCUGAAGCUCUACUGACUCUGAAGCGACUUACUCACUGCUGGGGUCCUCGGUUCCUCGGGUCCGAACCUACACAAGUGGACUCAAAUGAGGGACCUAACAAACAUGAAUAUCACUCUAAAAUACUCCCCAAAAACCCCCUAAAACACCUAAAAACAUCCAUAGAAAACAUGCAAAGGAAGGCUGAACAGGGCACUUUCGGUGGCAGGUUCGACGGCCGAAAGUGCCCUCCAGAGACGAAAGUCCAUUUUCGGGGGUAGACUUCGGCAGCCGAAAGGCUUGCCUCACAGACAGGUUCGGCUGCCGAACGUGGUUUCUCCCAAAGGGCAGAAACUCAGCUUUUCAAUGCACACUUUCCUCCCAAACCUUCCAAUCAAGCAUACAACUUAACCAAAACAUGCAUAAACACAUACAUAAGCUCCUAGGGGCUUCAAACUAUCUUAAACCCCAACUACAACACAUCAAACAUGCAUAUCCAACACACAUUGUCCAUAUAAUCACAAAAAACCUAACAAAGUUCAACUAAUCUAAACAUGCAUUUCUACCCCAUAGAUCAACUAAAAACUUGUUUAAAACAUAUAAUGAGCUCAAGAUCGGCUCUUACCUCUUGAAGAUCGAGAGAGAGACGACCUAAACUUGGAAACCAAAGAAAAAGAGCUCCUGAGUCUUCCAAGCCUCAAAACUUGCUUAAAUGCUCAAAAUCUUCAAAACAAAGUGAAAUCUCAUGAAAAUCAUGAAGGAUUUGAAGAAAAGGACUCAAAAUCGGCGAGGGACGGCGGAGAACUCACCUUGGCCGAAAAUGGGGAGAAAAGCUCGCCCAUUCGGACAGGGUCCUUAGGUGGCUGGCCAGGCCACUUUCGGGGGCCUAACGUGCCUCUGCAUGCAUGCCAUGUUCGGCGGCCAAACAUAAGGUUCGGCGGUCGAACCUGGACUUCCCUCACCUAUGCCUUCGGGGGCCUAAAGCACUCCCGAAGUGCAUGCAUGUUCGGCGGCCGAACUUGAGGUUCGGCGGCCGAACCUGAGUCUUCUUCUCAAGACUAUUUUCAUUCAAAACUUAAUUUCUUUCUUGAUUAAACCCAUGAAAUACAUUAAAACAUUUUAUGAAAACAUGAUUUUACCCUUCUAGAGGUCUCCGACAUCCGAGAUUCCACCGGACGGUAGGAAUUCCGAUACCGGAGUCUAGCCAGGUAUUACAUUCUCCCCCCCUUAAGAACAUUCGUCCCCGAAUGUUCACCAAACAACACAUGCAUAGCAUAAAACAUAAACAUUCAUACAAAGCACAUAAAACUCACCUUAGAAGAGAUGAGGAUAUUGCCGGAGCAUAGACUCCCGUGUCUCCCAAGUACACUCUUCGAUGUUGUGGUGAUUCUAAAGGACUUUCACCAUCGGGAUUUCCUUGUUUCUUAGCUUUCUAAUCUGGGUGUCUAGGAUCCGCACCGGCUGCUCAACAUAGGUGAGAUUCUCUUGGAUCUCCACAUCAGGCUCACUAAGAACCUUGCCCGGAUCCGACACGAACUUUCUCAACAUAGAAACAUGGAAAACCGGAUGGAUUCUCUCCAUUGAAGCAGGCAAGUCCAGCUUGUACAAUACAUUCCCAAUCCUUUGCAAGACUUCAAAGGGUCCAAUGUACCGUGGAGCUAGUUUACCUUUCUUCCCAAACCGAAUCACCCUUUUCAUUGGAGACACUUUGAGCAAUACCAAAUCCCCCUCCUGAAACUCCACUUGCUUUCUGCGGAUAUCUGCAUAACUCUUCUAUCUGCUUGCAGCACUCUUGAUCCUUUCUCUGAUUAUGGGCACCACUCUGCUGGUGAUCUCUACUAGCUCAGGCCCUGCCAGGGCCUUUUCUCCAACUUCUUCCCAACAGACAGGCGACCUGCACUUCCUUUCAUACAAAGCUUCAUAUGGGGCCAUCCUUAUGCUGGCAUGAUGGCUGUUAUUGUAGGCAAACUCCACUAAAAGUAGAUGCUGCCUCCAAGAACCGUCAAAAUCCAGCACACACAUUCUGAGCAUAUCCUCUAUUGUCUGGAUGGUCCUCUCUGAUUGUCCGUCUGUCUGUGGAUGGAAAGCAGUGCUAAAAUCCAACCUGGUACCCAUAGCGUUCUGCAGACUCCGCCAAAACCUGGAGGUGAACUGGGGCCCUCGAUCAGACACUAUUGAAACAGGAACCCCAUGCAGCCUGACGAUCUCAUCAACAUACACCUGCGCCAACUUGUCCACAGAAUAGCCACUCCUGACAGGGAUGAAGUGAGCAGAUUUAGUGAGUCUGUCCACAAUCACCCAUAUGGAGUCCAAUCUAUUGGAUGUCGCCGGUAACCCCACCACGAAGUCCAUAGCUAUAUUCUCCCAUUUCCACUCUGGAAUAGGUAGUGGGUUAAGCAUUCCAGCCGGCUUCUGAUGUUCCAGCUUCACCCUCUGACAUAUUUUGCAGGCUGACACAAACUGUGCCACUUCCCUCUUCAUAGCUGGCCACCAAUACACUCUCUUCAGAUCUUGAUACAUUUUGGUGGCUCCAGGGUGAACACUGUAUCUGGCAUUAUGAGCUUCCCUCAUAAUGUCUCCCUUCAGUCCCACGUCAUCUGGUACACAUAAUCUAUUCCCAUAGCGGAGGAUCCCCUUACUGUCAAAUCUGAACUCACUAUCCUUGCCCGACUGAACAGUCCUGGCAAUCUUCACUAACUCUGGGUCCUCAUGCUGUUUCUGAGCCACCUGCUCCAGAAACACGGGUGCCACUCUCAUCUGGGCAACUAAAGUACCUGUACCAGACAACUCCAACUGUAGACCUUCAUUCAUGAGCUCGAGAAACUGCCUCACCACUGGCCUCCUCUCUGCUGAAAUAUGGGACAAACUGCCAAGUGAUUUCCAGCUUAAGGCGUCUGCCACAACAUUCGCCUUACCCGGAUGGUACUGGAUCUUGCAAUCAUAGUCACUGAGCAGUUCUACCCAUCUUCUCUGUCUCAAAUUCAAAUCUCUCUGACUCAGGAUGUACUGCAGGCUUUUAUGAUCGGUGAAGAUCUCACAUUUAACCCCAUAAAGGUAGUGCCUCCACAUCUUGAGUGCAAAGAUUACUGCUGCCAUCUCUAGGUCAUGUGUAGGGUAAUUCAACUCGUGCUUCUUCAGCUGCCUAGAAGCAUAAGCAAUCACCCUUUCAUUCUGCAUUAGCACACAACCUAGCCCCACACGGGACGCGUCACAAAAGACUGAGAAGUCUUCAUUACUCGAUGGUAGAGCUAACACUGGUGCUGAAGUCAACCUCUUCUUUAGCUCCUCAAAGCUCUCUUCACACUGGUCGGUCCACACGAACCUCUGGUUCUUCUUAGUCAAUCUGGUCAUGGGAGCUGCAAUCUUAGAGAAGUCCUGAACGAACCUCCUGUAGUAACCUGCUAAACCCAAGAAGCUCUUGAUCUCUGUCACUAUAGUGGGUCUAGGCCAGUUAGCUACAGCUUCCACUUUCUUGGGGUCUACCUCGAUUCCAUUUUCUGACACCACAUGCCCCAAGAAGGAAAUGCUCCUCAGCCAGAACUCACACUUGGAGAACUUGGCAUACAAGCCAUGUUCCCUCAAGGUCUACAAAACCAACCUCAGAUGAUGGGCAUGCUCCUCUGUAUUCCUGGUAUACACUAAGAUAUCAUCUAUGAAGACAAUAACAAAGUGAUCCAGGUACUGGCUAAACACUCUGUUCAUGAGAUCCAUGAAUGCUGCAGGGGCAUUGGUUAACCCGAACGGCAUCACAAGGAACUCAUAAUGCCCAUAUCUGGUCCUGAAUGCUGUCUUCGGCACAUCCUCUUCUCUUAUCCUUAGCUGAUGGUACCCCGAUCUCAGAUCUAUUUUGAAGAAACAACCUGCUCCGGCUAGCUGGUCAAAUAGAUCGUCGAUCCUUGGCAACGGGUACUUAUUCUUGGUAGUGACUUUGUUCAACUGCCUGUAGUCGAUACAAAGUCUGAGAGAUCCAUCCUUCUUUUUCACAAAUAGCAUUGGAGCACCCGAAGGUGAGGUACUCGAUCGGAUGAAUCCUCUAUCUACCAACUCUUGCAACUGCUCCUUAAGCUCUUUCAAUUCUGCUGGUGCCAUCUUGUAGGGAGGAAUAGAGAUUGGUCUGGUUCUAGGCAUCAAUUCAAUUUCAAACUCUAUCUCCCUAGCAGGUGGUAAACCUGGUAGCUCGUCUGGGAACACAUCUAAAAACUCACUGACCACGGGCACCGAGGCGGGCUCUCUAACAUGACUAUCCAGCUCCCUCACAUGAGCCAGAAAACCCUGACAACCCCUCCUGAGCAACCUACGAGCUUGAAGGGCUAAUAUCAAACCUCUAGGUGUACUCCCCUUGUCUCCUCUGAAUACAACCUCUGACCCAUCCUAACAUCUGAACUUGACUACCUUGUCUCUGCAAUCCAAGGUAGCACCAUGGGUAGAUAGCCAAUCCAUCCCUAGAAUGACGUCAAAAUCUGUCAAAUCUAGAACCACAAGGUCGGUUGAAAGGCAUCUCCCCUCUAUAAAAACUGGACUAUACUGGCAGACUGACUCUGCCACUGACGGGUCACACUUGGGUCCACUGACCCAUAGGGGACACUCUAACCCAGAGACCAUCAAUCUCAAUCUCUCGACGGCCCUCGGAGCAAUGAAAGAAUGCGAUGCACCAGGGUCCAUUAAGGCAUAAACAUCUGAGCAACCAAUGAUGAGAUUACCUACCACCACGGUGUUCGAUGCAUUUGCCUCCUGCUGUGUCAUUGUGAAGAUCCGUGCUGGGGCUGAUGGACCUUCACCUCUGAAACCCGCUGAAGAAGAGGCUGUACCUCUCCCUCUGCCUCUACCAUUGGCUUGAGUCGCGGCUGGAGCUGCUGGCUGAGCCACACUACCAGAGGUUGUCUGUUGAGACUGUGCCAUAAAAGCUGCUCUAGGACACUCUCGAGCCAUGUGUCCCUCCUGCCCACAUCUGAAGCAGGCUGCCGUCCCAACCAGACAUAUACCCUUGUGCGGCUUCCCACACUUCUUGCAUACUGCAUUAUCUGCACCUGAGCUCGAGCCACCUCCUAAUCCCAGACCUGACUUGAUCUUGCUCCAGAACUUGUUCUUCUUUGGCUUCCUGGUGGUAUUGCCCCACCUCUUACUACCUGAACUCAGAGAAGGGUCUAACUUUCCCCCACCUGGGGUCUUGGAACCAGAAGGCUGUGCCACUGACUACUUGACUUUCCCUUCGAUUAUAGCACUAGCCUCCAUCCUCCGAGCCAUAUCCACUAUGGCAUGGAAACUCUCCCUCUCUGCUGACUGAAUCAAAGAGGAAUACCUGGAAUGGAGCUUCAUGAUAUACCUCCUUAACUUCUUCGGAUCUGUGUCUAGAUUCUGCCCAGCAAACGGCAACAGCUCCAAGAAUCUGUCUGUAUACUCAUCCAUGCACAUCUCAUCUGUCUGCCUCAACUGCUUGAACUCAAUCAUUUUCAGCUCCCUGGAACUGUCAGGGAAAGCCCAUCCUGCAAACUCAUUGGCAAACUCCUCCCAGGAUAGACUAUCCAACCUCGAGUUCACAUAAUUCUUAAACCAUUCUCGGGCCUUCUUGCAUUUUAAUGUGAACCCAGCCAUCUGGAUGGCUCUACUGUCAUCAGCUCCUAUCUCAUCUGUAAUGGUCUUGACCCUCUCCAGAUACACAAACGGGUCAUCACCUGUUUCAAACUGGGGAGCACCCAACUUCAUGUAGUCGGUCAUCUUGACCUUGCUCCCUCUAGAUGAGCUAGGUUUGGGCGUUUGGGUUUCUGGGACAGUAGGUGCUGCUGGUGGUGGAGGAGGUGUAGCAUCCCCUGGGGUAGGGUUUGCUGUACCUGGAUAGAAAGAUGGGGGUGGGUACAUAGGGUACUGUGGGUACGGUGGGUAGAAAGGUGGGUAUGGCAUCUGUGAGUGAUAAGGGUUAAAACUGGGGUAAUCCAAUGUACCUCCCAUCGAAUACCCGGGAUUAUGUGAAAAGGACGGGUAGUAAGGUGGCUGAACAAAUCCCGAGGCCUGAGUGCCCCCUUGGGACUCUCCCAUUCCCUCUUCCGACAUACUUACUCCGAGACUGCCAUCCCUCCUCUGAUCCACAUCCAUCUGAUCCCCCACAUCCUCUGACAUAUCCCCUUGCACUGUUCCCCUCACUGAUCUGCUUCUACCCAGAUCCAAAGACCUUCUAGGGUCUCUUACUGCUCUUUCUCUGCUGGACCUACUUGACAUUGCCCUAGGCAAUGCAGGAGGACGGGCAUCAGUGCCCUCGUCCUGGGGUGGUACUCCAGUCAAUCGUGCCGAUCGACGAGUUCCUCUCAUCCUGAUUACUGAAAAAACAGCACACAUCACAUAAACAUUAGCAUCAAAUGGUUCAUGUGCAAACACAUGAAUCCGCAUCACAUACAUCACAUACAUAGCAUAUCAUUAAUGCUCAUGCAUAUAGUCAUGGCAUUUCACAUCAUCAUUCAAGACAGGACUCUACAUCCUAUCCUAGUGGACAUGAUCUUCCUAUUGUGCUUGACCUUCUAUAAUAUCUAUGAGCCAAUUACUCUAGGUCCGACCAUGUGAACCUAGGGCUCUGAUACCACUCUGUAAUGACCCGAAAAUCGGACCGCUACCGGUGCUAGGAUCCAGAUCGGCUUAAAGCCGCCGGGACCCGUAGCAAGCCAAAUAUUCUUCCUAUGAACCUGUUUAAUCCCAUACAUGAUCAACAACAUACAUAAAAAUUUUGAACUUUUCCAUACAUUCAUUCAUUCUUUCAUUCAUUCACCAAACUCAACCUGUGCAUGCACUAUACAUAAACAUAAUCAUAAACAUUAACUCCUCUUUGGAGUCUCAUCAGUGCCCCAAUGGGGUGACAUAACAUGUAUUGAGUUUGGUUACAUAAGCAUCAUUAAAAUCAUGUACUCAAAGGGAUUAACAACAUACUAGGGUCAAGUACAACUAUAAACCUCAAUAGACAUCAUUACAUUACAUUUCUACACUAUACUUUUACAUUACAUCACAUUCAUGUCCACAUCUAGCUAUUACAAACAUUUCGACUCUACUCCUGCUGACCUCCUAGUCUAUCCUGUACCUGCAAAUCUGGGGGUUAAGGGAGAGGGGUGAGCUAUAAAGCCCAGUGAGUAGAAUAAUAACAUAUUCAAUUCAUUUUUCAUGCUUUCAUGAAAUGCAACACAGCACAAACAAAUCACAUCAAGGAUGGAAUUGUCACCAAUAGUCCUCUACAUUCCAAGGUGCCGGGACGUAGAAUGGGUCAACCGGUCUUUCUCUUACAUAGUGCCGGGACGUAGAAUGGGUCAACCGGUCUUUCUCUUACAUAGUGCCGGGACGUAGAAUGGGUCAACCGGACUUCCAUAUCAUGCCAUACCGUAUCAUAUCACAUUGUAUCAUAUUGAGGACUAAGGAUCAUCCAAUAACUAUCCACAUCAUCAUCAAAUUAUGCAGUGCAACAUAUUCGUGAACUCUAACGCAAACAACCUAAAAUAUCAUAUGGCAUUCGUGAUGCAUGAACAUGCUCAAUCUAUAUUUAUUUGCUUUAAAACAUAAGUAUUUAUUCCACUCACCUCUGGCUGAAGCUCUACUGACUCUGAAGCGACUGACUCACUGCUGGGGUCCUCGGUUCCUUGGGUCCGAACCUACAUAGGUGGACUCAAAUGAGGGACCUAACAAACAUGAAUAUCACUCUAAAAUACUCCCCAAAAACCCCCUAAAACACCUUAAAACAUCCAUAGAAAACAUGCAAAGGAAGGCUGAACAGGGCACUUUCGGCGGCAGGUUCGGCGGCCGAAAGUCCCUCUAGAGCCGAAAGUCAUGCAGGUUCGGCGGCACCUUCGGCGGCCGAAAGUGCCCUCCAGAGACGAAAGUCCAUUUUCGGGGGCAGACUUCGGCAGCCGAAAGGCUUGCCUCACAGACAGGUUUGGCGGCCGAAAAUCCUUUCGGCUGCCGAACGUGGUUUCUCCCAAAGGGCAAAAACUCAGCUCUUCAAUGCACACUUUCCUCCUAAACCUUCCAAUCAAGCAUACAACUUAACCAAAACAUGCAUAAACACAUACAUAAGCUCCUAGGGGCUUCAAACUAUCUUAAACCCCAACUGCAACACAUCAAACAUGCAUAUCCAACACACAUUGUCCAUAUAAUCACAAAAAACCUAACAAAGUUCAACUAAUCUAAACAUGCAUUUCUACCCCAUAGAUCAACUAAAAAUUUGUUUAAAACAUAUAAUGAGCUCAAGAUCGGCUCUUACCUCUUGAAGAUCGAGAGAGAGACGACCUAAACUUGGAAACCAAAGGAAAAGAGCUCCUGAGUCUUCCAAGCCUCAAAACUUGCUUAAAUGCUCAAAAUCUUCAAAACAAAGUGAAAUCUCAUGAAAAUCAUGAAGGAUUUGAAGAAAAGGACUCAAAAUCGGCGAGAGACGGCGGAGAACUCACCUGGGCCGAAAAUGGGGAGAAAAGCUCGCCCAUUCGGACAAGGGGACCUUUUUAUAGGUGGCUGGCCAGGCCACUUUUAGGGGCCUAACGUGCCUCCGCAUGCAUGCCAUGUUAGGCGGCCGAACAUAAGGUUCAGCGGCCGAACCUGGACUUCCCUCACCUAUGCCUUCGGGGGCCUAAAGCACUCCCGAAGUGCAUGCAUGUUCGGCGGCCGAACUUGAGGUUCGGCGGCCGAACCUGAGUCUUCUUCUCAAGACUAUUUUCAUUCAAAACUUAAUUUCUUUCUUGAUUAAACCCAUGAAAUACAUUAAAACAUUUUAUGAAAACAUGAUUUUACCCUUCUAGAGGUCUCCGACAUCCGAGAUUCCACCGGACGGUAGGAAUUCCGAUACCGGAGUCUAGCUGGGUAUUACAUUACGGAUAAGAACGCCUUGUGAAAUUAGAAAAGUUUAUAAGUCAGGGACUAAGUCCCUGGCUAAAUUUUCAGCCUUGAUUAGCUGAGAGACAAGGAAUGAAAGACGAUGUAGUCAAUUCCUUACAAAGUUUAUUAAGCACAACUUAAGUAUUUAUUAUCAAAUCUUUAAAUGAAGCUGAAAUAGCAAGCAAAGUAAAUGAAAAUGAAAUUUCAUUAAAGGAAAAUAAAGAUUUACAGCCUAAUCAUCUAUAACUAUUGAAGGAAAAAUUGUCUUUAGGGGGUCCAUAUUCCUAGGAGUUUCGCUAUUUACAUUACCAUCAUUUACAUUGCUAUCCUCUACACUACCAUCUGCAUUACUGCUUACGGGAGGUCUGGCACCCUCCUGCUCAGAACCUCCAGCACCCAUAAAAGGUAUGAUCUCCAGCUCCUGAGGCCCAGCAUCUUCGGGGGCCCUAUCGUCCUCCUCUCCUAGCUCGGUAUCCUCGUUAGGGGGCCCAGCUGAAGUGUGAGAAGUUCCUUUGGGCAAAGGUAGAUCAUCCUCCCCAUAUAGCACGUCUUCGCCAUCGGAGUCCACCUCAGCAGCUCGGAGUUUUGCUAGAGGGAUAGAAAGAGCAAGUCUGGAAUCUCUUAAACCCCUGUUGAAACCCGACACAAACAUGCGGAAGCCUUUGUGCCAAAUAGCGAUCUUCAUCUCAUCAGAGGCUUUGUACUCCGCAAGUCGUGCCUGGCAAGCCUCAGCUAUCUCUGUCUUAUACUCAGAAGAAUCUUUGUAAGCUUGAAGAUGAGUUUCACAGGCCUGCUCAAUCUCCUUCUUCAACUCCGCUGACUCCUUGAAUUCCCGCAGGCACUCCUCACACUCCAGCUAAAUCCUAUCUUCAGCCAGCUUAGCAUCCUCAAGCAGGGCUGAGCACCUCUUCUUCAGAGCCUCGACCUCUUGGCAGAGAUAUUGAUUUUGGAGUUUUGUUGCCUCAGCCUCCAAGGUCAGACCUUUAAAAUUUUCAGCCUGCUUGGCCAGCUCCUGCUCGAGGACCACUACCCGAGCCAGGGCUUCCUCUCUCUGAGCCACCACGACCUCGUGUUGGGACUGGGCUGCCUCAGAAUCUGCCUUCAAGGUCUCAUACUGGCGGCAGACUUCAUCUCUCUCCCUCUGGACCUCUUCUAGAGAAGACAGUUGUUUCAGGGCUUCUUUACAACGAAUAUCUGCUUCAGCUGCCCUCUCAUCUACCCUUUUGACAGCAUCCAGGGCAUAUGUCAGCUCUGCCUGUAAGGACUUGGAAUGCUCCUGAGCUGCGGCUAGAUUGCUUCGGGUGUCACUGGUGGCAGACAGGUUUUCUUCCAAACGUGCCUCCUCGACCCGGUGAUCCAUUUACUCCCGGAGAGCAUGGUCGCGAGCAUCUACCUCCAUAAAGAGUCCCAUCACCUAGCAAAGAGAGAAAGCUGUCAGAACAAAGAAACGAAGAAAACUAAAGUAUGGACAGAAGUCAGAAAGGACGACUUACCAUAAGAAGCAUCUCCCUGAUAGUAUCUCCUAGCUCCCCCCGGGAGCGAGAUCGGAACGCUGCCUGCUCUCGAGUGGAGCUGGCCAGAAGGCCAGUGAGAGCCAUCAAGCGAGGGUCUGAGGCUUCCGUGACCCCACCGAACAUCCGCUCCUAGAUUAACUCAGCUACCAUGCUUGCCGAGGACUGAUGAGUGAUGUCCUCUGCAUUUAGGAUGUCGUUAUCUGGUGCAGACAACAGGGGCACCACAUAAGCCUUCUCUUUUCCAAUAGCAGGCAGGGCCGGAGCUGGCCUCUAGGAAGCACGAAAUCUCUUAGGAACAGGGGAAGGUGCUCUAGAAGGAGGAGGGCGUUUACUCCCGACCUCCUCCACUGUGGCCUCAUCAUCAACUGGACUGGGCCCUACUCCCUCGAUGAUAGGGGAGUCUUUAGUAACGGCCCCCUGAAUAUCUCCCCCUGCCAGGCUGGUCUCUUUCUCGCCUACAGGGACGUUGACGUUGGCAGGGUGUGUCCCAGGCACCUCCUCAGAAAUACCCCCGGAAGGCACAGCUAAAUCCUUCCUCGCCAGCUCCACGUCCUCAACAGGCCCGGCGGCGACCUGAGGAGUCCCUUCUGUCCUCGGAACUACAAUUUGCAUAUAUUCUGGAGCCUGGGAAGAUUGAAUGGCCGAGCUCAGCCUGCUACGGCUGGAUGGCCUUGAAGAUUUGGUACCUCGGGAGCUCGGCUUAGAAGCUCGGGAAGAAGCUCGGGCAGGAGGUCAGCUAACCGUCCUGGAAGAAAUAACCCGGGCCACCUCAGCAGUAGCCUCUAAGACGUGUUGCCCAGCUCGGUGGGCAUCCAGCGCGGCGUUCAUGCUCUCUCUAGACAGAACUAAGUUCUUCAGAGGCUUAAUUUGGUCCAUCUUGGAGUCAGAAGCUGCAAAAAAAUAUAAAAUCAAAACAGGUUAGCAUAAUCCCAGUAGAAAUCACAAAGAAAAGGCAAAACGGUUGGGCAAGGUACAAUACCCACAUCCUGGAUAUCCCUAAGAUUACAGGCAAACAUACACUUCUCGACGUCGUACUUCUUGUCAACAGAAGUCAAUCGAAGGUACCCGACCUGUCCGGUAAGGCUCAGCUGGGGCAGGUCGUUGCAACCCAGAGAGACAUCCUCCCAGUCGAGCUCCACCCCCCACGACGAACCGGAGUCUAUCUUCAGCUCCGCGACUACAAAACCCUCUACCCAGCCCUUUAUGGAAUCCUUAUAGCCCGUGAGGAUGGAUAAACCCCCACGGGGGGAAAAGUAAUAAAAACACUUACUUGCUCUGACAAGACGAAAAAAGGUCAUGAAUAGAUGAGCCGUGGGCGUAAAUCCCCAGCUCAAGCAAAUGGAUUCAAAGCAACACAUGAACAAGAUAGAAUUUGGGGAUAGCAUUCGGGGAGUUAUUGUAAUACCCGGCUGGAGACCGGCAUCGGAAUUCUACUUUCCGGUGGAAUUCGGGAUGUCGGAAGUCUUUAGAAGGGUAGGAUAUAUGUUUUCCUACAGUGUUAUGAUGUAUUUUAAGGUGUUGAGUUGAAUUGAUGUGAGUUGGUUUGAGGUUGGAAGAGAAAAGGCUAAGGAGACUUUUGCCAAGUUCGGCCGCCGAAGGUAAGUUUGGUCGACGAAAGUGCCCAAUGUUCGGCUUCCGCAGUUCAGGUUCGGCCCCCGAAUGUUGCAUGGUUUUGCAUGCGAUUCGGCAGCCGAAGCUGAAUUGGCUAGCCAACAAUUGAGCAUUCCUUAGUCAGCAUUUUGGACAGGUGUUGGCUCCAAACCCUGUCCAGAAGCUUGGCCACGUCUCCUAUGUUGUACAGCUCCUGUACAAAGUGGGUUGUUUUGUUGGUUUUCACAAGGUGGUGAAGGGUUGAAGCAAAAAGCUUAGGUUUGAGAGUUUAUGAGUUUGAAGAGAGUGAUCCAUUUUUUUUGUUCAGAUCGUUCAUCUUCGUGUGUACAGGAGGUAAGUGAAGAUCUUGAACAUGUUUUACUGGUUACAGAAGUUUUAUGCAGGUUUGGGUAGAGAUGCAUGCUUAGGUGACAAAGGGUGUUGUUUUUGAUGGUUUAGCUUGUAAGCGUGUUUAUGUGUUAUGUUUGAUGUGUUUGUUGGGGUGUUUAGGUAGUUUUGGACCCCUUGGUUUAUAUACAUGAGGAUAUGUGUGUUGAGGAGUUGAAGUGUGCAUGUGUUGAGAGAUUGAAGGGAUGGAGGAGCUUGUUUGCCGUUGGGGCUGAGUUCUGGAUGAACUCAGGUUCGGCAGCCGAAGGUUCAUUCGGCCGCCGAACCUCUUGCAUGGUGGCUUAGGCUGCCACAGCUUGCCCCCGCGAGUUUUGCAUGUUCGGCUCUGUUUGGGGGUUCGGCCGCCGAAGGUGCCGCCGAAGGUUAGAGACUUUCGUCUCUGGAGUGCUUUUUGGCCCCCGAAACUUGCCCCCGAAAGGGUUCGGCCGCCGAAGCUUGAUAUUCGGCCGCCGAAGGUGCUUGAGUUUCAUCUCUGGAGAGGACUUUCGGCCGCCGAACCUGCCGCCGAAAGUGUUCUGUUCAGCUUUCUUUUGCAUGCUUGGCAUGGAUGUUAGAGUGAGUUUAAGGGGAUUCUUGGGGAGUUUAAUAGAGUUAUUCAUAAGCUUGUUUGGUCCCUCAUUUGAGUCCAUCUGUAUAGGUACAGAUCAGAGGAACCAGAGAGAGCAGCAGUGAGUACUGCUCCAGAGUUUCAGAGCCUGCAGAGUCAGUCAGUCCAGAUAGCCAGAGGUGAGUGGAACUAAACUUAACUCUUUUACUUGCACACAAUGAAAUGUUUUAGCAUAUCUCAUGCAUCAUGAUUAUGCCUUAGGUUGAGUGCAUUAGUAACCACGAAUAUGGUGCAUUGCAUAGUUCUUUAUUGAUGUGGGUAAAUGCUGAAUGAUCCAAUAGUCUCAGACAGGAAGUCCAGGAGCCUUUGACUACGCCCUGGCAGGUAUAGCGAAGUCCAGGAGCCUUUGACUACGCCCUGGCAGGUAUAGCAAAGACCAGGAGCCUUUGACUACGCCUUGGCACUGGUAAGUACAGAGGUGUUAUAUACACAUAUACAUAUAUGACAGGAAGACCAGGUGCUCGAUUCUACGCCCUGGCACAGAGUUACUGGGACUAUGUGGUGACAGGUUUACUCUUGAUGUGGCUUGUCUGUGCUGUGAAGCAUUCCAUGAGAUCAUAUUUUACUGAGAUGUUCUACUGUUCUACUCACUGGGCUAUAGAGCUCAUCCCACUCCCUUAACCCUAGUUUUGCAGGGUCAGUGUACAGUGUACAGGGACAGUUCAGCAGAGUACAGGAAGAGUAAAGAGAUUUGUAAUAAGCUUAGAGUGGACAUGUCAUAUUGAAGAAAUGUACGAGUUGUGUAUACAGUUAGACAUGUGCUUGACCUAGUGAUGUAUGUUUUAUACAUGAUCUGUGUAUGUAUAUGUUUUCCUGUAUGUAAAAACCAGGCUUAACAGGUAUGAGUUAACCCAUCUAGAGUAAGCUCUAGUCAGGGGUACAGAGUACAGAGUACAUGAGUACAGAGUACAGAGAUAGUGCAUGCACAGGUUAAGCCGUGGUUCAACAAAGAGUUGUUAUUUUCACAAAAUGUAUGAUCAUGUAUGAGUUUUACAGGUACACAGAGAGUAUAGCAGGCUUGCUACGGGUUCUGGCGGCCUUAAGCCGACCUGAAUCCUAGCGCCAAUGACGGUCCAUUUUGGGGUCGUUACAGAUUGGUAUCAGAGCCCUAGGUUCAUAUGAUCGGACCUAUAGAGACAGUGUCGGGCUCAGACAGGUUAGAAGUGGUUAAGCACAAUAGAAAAUCAUGUCCACUAGGAUAGGGUCUUGAGUCCUAUCUGUUAUUUUAUGCCAUGAGUUAUGCAUGUGCCUUCUUGCUAUGUGCUGUUUUCGUGCUCAAGUGCUAUGUUAUCUGUUGUAUUUUCAGAGUAAAGAUGAGAGGAACUCGUCGAUCAGCUCGAUUGACUGGAGUCCCACCAGAGAGUGAGAGACCAGCUGCUCGUCCUCCUGCAUUGCCCAGGGCAAGGUCUCAGAGAUCUAGCAGGGAAGGUACGUCACUAGACCCUAGAAGGUCUGUAGACGAGAGCAGAAGAGGAACAGCUAGGGGAGGAAGAUCAGAGGAAAGGAGGGACGCUAUGGAGAUUGAUCAGUCUAUAGAUGACAGUAUGGGAAUAGGCAGUUUUGAGGAAGGUAUGGGAGAGUCGCAGGGAGGUGCUCAGACCUCAGGUUUUGGCUACCCAGAGUAUCCGAUGGGAGGUAUGUCGGAGUACUCUAGUUUUGUGCCAUAUCCUCCUUACAUGCCUUAUAUGCCUUAUCCUUAUUACCCACCAUAUCCUAUGUAUCCCUCUUCCCCUACCCAUCCAAGUGCAGCACACCCAUAACCAAAUGAACCAGUACCACCACCAGAACCAGUAGCCCCUGUUGUUGACAGACAUCAACCUAGCUCAUCUGGAGGUAAGGUACAAAUGACGGAGUACUUGAAAUUGGAUGCUCCUAAAUAUCACACGGGAGAUGAUCCAUUUGAAUACCUCAGAUCAGUUAGGAUGAUAACCAGUGAAUUGGGAGCUGAUGAUAGUAGAGCCAUUGAGAUGGCAGGGUUUACACUUAAAUGUAAAAAGGCCAGAGAAUGGUUUAAGAAUUAUGUGGAGCCUCGAAUGGACAGUAUGUCAUGGGGAGAGUUCGUCAAUGAGUUUGCAGGAUGGGUUUUUCCUGACAGUUCUAGGGAGAUGAAAGUAAUUGAAUUUGAACAGUUGAGACAGACAGAUGAGAUGAGUGUUGAUGAAUUCACAGAUAAGUUCCUGGAUUUGCUACAGUAUGUGGGUCAAGCCUAUGAUACUGAUCAGAAGAAGGCAAGGAGAUAUACUAUGAGAUUGCAUCCCAGGUAUGCGUCCUUGAUUCUUCCAGCAGAAAAGGAGAGCUUCCACACGAUAGUGGACGCAGCCAGGAAAAUGGAAGCUAGUGCCAAUAUUCAGAAACAGUCAAAGGCACAGGCUUCGGGUUCUAAAGCCCCACUCAAGGCAGUAAGAGAUGGGACAGAGCAAAAGGAACAAAGAGUAAGUUCUGGAGUAAAGUCACGUCGGGUCUGGGAAUAGGUAGUGGCUCAAGCUCUGGCACAGCUCCAGUCUGCAGACGAUGCGGAAAACCACAUGGAGGAGUUUGUCAGUUGGGAUCUACAGCUUGUUUUCGCUGUGGAUAGGAAGGGCAUAUCGCUCAGAAUUGUCCGCAGAUGACUUUUGCACCAUCCCAGCAGAUGAGUUCAGGCAGUGUGGUACAGCCAGUUGUUCGGCCAGCAGCUCCAGUCAUGCCUCAGAGUAGUGGCAGAGGUAGAGGGAGAGGGGCAGCCUCUACUUCAGCAGCAGGUUCCCGAGGUGGAAAUCCGGUAGCCCCAGCACGGAUUUUCACUGUGACACAGGAGGAGGCUAACACAUCGAACACAGUGGUGUCAGGUACUCUCAUCAUUGGGUGUUCAGAUGUGUAUGCUUUGAUGGACCCCGGGGCUUCUCAUUCCUUUAUUGCUUCGAGAGCCAUAGAGAGAUUGGGUUUGAUCAGUUCUGAGUUAGAGUAUCCUCUCUGGGUCAGUGGACCUAGAUGUGACCCAUCAGUGGCAGUGUCAGUCUGUCGCUUCAGUCCAGUGUUUAUAGAGGGUAGAUGCCUUCCAGCUGACCUUGUGGUUCUAGAUUUGACAGAUUUUGAUGUCAUUCUAGGGAUGGAUUGGCUAUCUGCAUAUAGUGCUACUUUGGACUGUAGAGAGAAGAUAGUGAGUCUCAGAGACCAGGAUGGGUCAGAGUGUGUCUUCAGAGGAGACAGNNNNNNNNNNNNNNNNNNNNNNNNNNNNNNNNNNNNNNNNNNNNNNNNNNNNNNNNNNNNNNNNNNNNNNNNNNNNNNNNNNNNNNNNNNNNNNNNNNNNNNNNNNNNNNNNNNNNNNNNNNNNNNNNNNNNNNNNNNNNNNNNNNNNNNNNNNNNNNNNNNNNNNNNNNNNNNNNNNNNNNNNNNNNNNNNNNNNNNNNNNNNNNNNNNNNNCCAAAACGCAUGCAUGUUCGGCGGCCGAACUUGACUUUCGGCGGCCGAACCUGGGUUUUCCUCCAAGGACUUUUCAUGCAAAAACUCAUUUAAUUUCAUACUUAAAACACUAAAAUUCAUGAAAACAUUUUAUAAAACAUGUUUUUACCCUUCUAGAGGUUCCCGACAUCCGAAAUUCCACCGGACGGUAGGAAUUCCGAUACCGGAGGGUAUUACAUUCUCCCCCCCUUAAGAACAUUCGUCCCCGAAUGUUCCUCAACCAGCACAUGCAUAGCAAACAACAUAACAUACACACAAAAACACAUAGAGAUUAACCUUAAAAGAGAUGAGGAUAUUGCCGGAGCAUAGACUCCCGUGUCUCCCAAGUGCAUUCUUCCAAAUUGUGGUGGUUCCAAAGGACUUUCACCAUCGGGAUUUCCUUGUUUCUCAGCUUUCUGAUCUAGGUGUCUAGGAUCCGCACUGGCUGCUCAACAUAGGUGAGAUCUUCUUGGAUCUCCACAUCAGGCUCACUAAGAACCUUGCCCGGAUCUGACACGAACUUCCUCAACAUAGAAACAUGGAAAACCGGAUGGAUUCUCUCCAUUGAAGCAGGUAAAUCUAGCUUGUACGACACAUUCCCAAUCUUCUGCAAGAUUUCAAAGGGUCCGAUGUACCGUGGAGCCAGCUUACCUUUCUUCCUGAACCGAACCACUCCUUUCAUUGGAGACACCUUAAGCAAUACCAGAUCCCCCUCCUGAAACUCUACUUGCCUUCUGCGGAUGUCUGCAUAACUCUUCUGUCUGCUUGCAGCAGUCUUGAUUCUUUCUCUGAUUAAGGGUACCACCCUGCUGGUGAUCUCUACUUACUCAGGCACUGCCAAGGCCUUUUCUCCAACUUCUUCCCAGCAAACAGGUGACCUGCACUUCCUCCCAUAUAAAGCUUCAUAUGGAGCCAUCCCGAUGCUAGCAUGAUGGCUGUUAUUGUAGGCAAACUCCACCAAAGGUAGAUGUUGCCUCCAAGAACCGCCAAAGUCCAGCACACACAUCCUUAGCAUAUCUUCUAUGGUCUGGAUGGUCCUCUCUGACUGUCCGUCUGUCUGUGGAUGGAAGGCAGUACUGAAAUCCAAUCUAGUACCCAUGGCAUCCUGCAGACUCCGCCAAAACCUGGAGGUGAACUGGGGCCCUCUAUCUGACACUAUAGAAACAGGAACCCCAUGCAGUCUGACUAUCUCAUCAACAUACACCUGCGCCAACUUGUCCACAGAAUAGCCACUCCUGCCAGGGAUGAAGUGAGCAGAUUUGGUGAGUCUGUCCACAAUCACCCAUAUGGAGUCCAAUCUGUUGGACGUCGCCGGUAAC
rnacentral:lncRNA from 1 species